rnacentral:tRNA from 1 species
GCUCCUGUAGCCCAAUUGGAAGAGGCGAUCGCGCCAGAAGCGAUGUGUUGCUCUUUCAAAUCCUGUCAGGAGUACCA